AAGUCGAGCGGGGGAGGUUGCUUCGGUAACUGACCUAGCGGCGGACGGGUGAGUAAUGCUUAGGAAUCUGCCUAUUAGUGGGGGACAACAUUCCGAAAGGAAUGCUAAUACCGCAUACGCCCUACGGGGGAAAGCAGGGGAUCUUCGGACCUUGCGCUAAUAGAUGAGCCUAAGUCGGAUUAGCUAGUUGGUGGGGUAAAGGCCUACCAAGGCGACGAUCUGUAGCGGGUCUGAGAGGAUGAUCCGCCACACUGGGACUGAGACACGGCCCAGACUCCUACGGGAGGCAGCAGUGGGGAAUAUUGGACAAUGGGCGCAAGCCUGAUCCAGCCAUGCCGCGUGUGUGAAGAAGGCCUUUUGGUUGUAAAGCACUUUAAGCGAGGAGGAGGCUCCUUUAGUUAAUACCUAAAGUGAGUGGACGUUACUCGCAGAAUAAGCACCGGCUAACUCUGUGCCAGCAGCCGCGGUAAUACAGAGGGUGCGAGCGUUAAUCGGAUUUACUGGGCGUAAAGCGUGCGUAGGCGGCUUUUUAAGUCGGAUGUGAAAUCCCUGAGCUUAACUUAGGAAUUGCAUUCGAUACUGGAAAGCUAGAGUAUGGGAGAGGAUGGUAGAAUUCCAGGUGUAGCGGUGAAAUGCGUAGAGAUCUGGAGGAAUACCGAUGGCGAAGGCAGCCAUCUGGCCUAAUACUGACGCUGAGGUACGAAAGCAUGGGGAGCAAACAGGAUUAGAUACCCUGGUAGUCCAUGCCGUAAACGAUGUCUACUAGCCGUUGGGGCCUUUGAGGCUUUAGUGGCGCAGCUAACGCGAUAAGU
rnacentral:rRNA from 1 species